rnacentral:rRNA from 1 species
GACAAGAAAUAACAAUACGGGGCUCUUUUGGGUCUCGUAAUUGGAAUGAGUACAAUCUAAAUCCCUUAACGAGGAACAAUUGGAGGGCAAGUCUGGUGCCAGCAGCCGCGGUAAUUCCAGCUCCAAUAGCGUAUAUUAAAGUUGUUGCAGUUAAAAAGCUCGUAGUUGAACCUUGGGUCUGGCUGGCCGGUCCGCCUCACCGCGAGUACUGGUCCGGCUGGACCUUUCCUUGGGGGAAAUCCCAUGGCCUUCACUGGCUGUGGGUGGAACCAGGACUUUUACUGUGAAACAAUUAGAGUGUUCAAAGCAGGCCUUUGCUCGAAUACAUUAGCAUGGAAUAAUAGAAUAGGACCUCCGGUUCUAUUUUGUUGGUUUCUGGGACCGCCGUA